rnacentral:lncRNA from 1 species
UUUAUAAAAUAUUUCAAGCAAACUUUAUUCCAGCUAUUGGAUACAUGACUUAUCAUAUCUACAACCUUCUAUCUUUUAAUAGAAAGAUAAAUAGAAUGUGCAAAUUGUAUUCUAAAAGAUAUGCUGUGGACCUUGAUGGCGGUUCACCAUAAUGAGUAGGAUGAAUAUUUGACGUCCUUAGAGCUUACCUAUAAUGAUAGUAUUUAAAUAAAUAUUGAUUAUUCACCAUUCUUCUUCACUAUGAUCAACAUUUGAUUAUGCCAAUAACUCUCUAUUAUUCCAUUGACAACAAAGGAUUUUAUAUAAUAUCUUAUAAUAACCUUGUAGGAGACCCAAUAUCAUCUCUAUAUUGCAAAAAAUUGACAAAAGCAGUAUGCAGAUAAUCACCGGUGUCAUAUUAUGUGAAGUGUUACUUGAGAGUGCAUCUAACAUCUAGCUAUGGAAGGUAGAAUGGAAAUUGCAAUACCAAAAUCUUAAUUCUAAUAGAAUAUUAAAUAAACUCUAAUUAAACUUUAUCAAUGCUAAACAAUCUUUAAUUAAAUUCAAAAAGAAUCUUAAAGAAAUUACCAAAGAAAUAAUGAGAAAUAUUAAAAGAAUUGAAAGAUAAUCUACAAUAAAUCUUAAGAGAAUCUUUAAGAAGCCCUAAAAAAUAUUAAAAUAAUUAUAAUACAUCUUAAAUAAAUCUCAACUAAGUUAUAAUUUAAUCCUAAUUGAAACCCUAAUAGACUUCAAUCAAAUCCUAAACAAAUUUUAAACUCUAAAUCAAAUUCUAAACAAAUCCUCAAAUCUAAACUAAAUCUAAGACAACCUCUAAAUCCUAAAUCCAAUCCUAAUCAAAUUCUAAACCCUAAACCAAACUGUAACCAAAUCCUAGACAAACUCCAAAUCCUAACUAAAUCCUAGCUAAAUUCUAAAUCCUAAACCAAAUCUUAGAUAAAUUCUAAAUUCUAAACCAAAUCCUAACCAAAUCUUAAAUUCUAAAUCAAAUUCUAAUAAAAUUCUAACCAAAUCCUAAACUCUAAAUUAAAUCCUAAAUCCUAAAUCAAAUCCUAAUCAAAUCCUAAACCUUAAAUCAAAAAUUAAAUAAAUGCUAAAUCCUUAAUCAAACACUAUUUAAAUUCUAAUUUUUAAACCAAAUCCUAAAGUAAUUUAG